rnacentral:rRNA from 1 species
GACGAACGCUGGCGGCGUGCUUAACACAUGCAAGUCGAACGGAAAGGCCCUGCUUUUGUGGGGUGCUCGAGUGGCGAACGGGUGAGUAACACGUGAGUAACCUGCCCUUGACUUUGGGAUAACUUCAGGAAACUGGGGCUAAUACCGGAUAGGAGCUCCUGCUGCAUGGUGGGGGGUGGAAAGUUUCGGCGGUUGGGGAUGGACUCGCGGCUUAUCAGCUUGUUGGUGGGGUAGUGGCUUACCAAGGCUUUGACGGGUAGCCGGCCUGAGAGGGUGACCGGCCACAUUGGGACGGAGAUACGGCCCAGACUCCUACGGGAGGCAGCAGUGGGGAAUAUUGCACAAUGGGCGGAAGCCUGAGGCAGCAACGCCGCGUGCGGGAUGACGGCCUUCGGGUUGUAAACCGCUUUCGCCUGUGACGAAGCGUGAGUGACGGUAAUGGGUAAAGAAGCACCGGCUAACUACGUG